UAGUCUUGCAUUGGAAAGAUUGCCUUCAGCUUGGAUGAACUGGUCUGACUCACCCAGGGCAGUUAAUGGAAAUUCUCCAAGCAAGGUUGGCAACUCGAAUUGUCUUCUUAUGAGCCUUCUUUUAGCACAGGUCACCAAGAUGGCAAAGGUUCAAAUGCGGCUGGUUCUGUUGACCAGUUGGUGGCUGAGAGUGUAUACUGCAAUAACAGGGAAGAGACAGAAAUUAGUGGGACUGGUGCGCGAUCCAGUGGUAGAAAUAGUCCCUUUGUGGAUCAAGAAGCAGACAAUAAAGCACAAGUGAGUGACAGUUGUGGGAUAUUAAAGGACAUCGAUGCAGAUGUGAAGAUACUUGCUCAAAAACUUGAAAAACUGUUCGUAAAGCAGCAAAAGGAACUUGAUGACCAAAAAAGAAAGCACUAAGUGGGCAUAUCAGACAUCCUGAAUUAAGUUUCCCCAGAAAUUUCUCGACAGGCUUUAAAGUUGUAUAAGCUUCAAAUGGCUACAAAAAUACAAUGACACCGCAUUUUACAGACAAGGGCUCACUUUAAAGUCAAAAGUGUACAUCCCCAAUUUGAGGGUGGAUGGAACUAGGUUAAUUCACUGUUUUACACGAAAGAUUAUACAAACGUCGAGUCCUGAUGACAUCUCAUGAGUGCUUAAAGAUCUCUGCAGCAAAAGGUCAGGGUGCUGGACAUUUGUUGAGAGAAGAUGGUGUGGUGUGAUAUUAAGCUUCAAGAUUCAAGAAAGAGUAGAGCAAAGUCAUGGCUCCAAGUUAUGUUUCAAUGAUCAAUUCAUGAUUGGCUAAGAAGAGAUGAUCCUGCAAAAUCUUUAACUUUGCAUUAAUCAGAUUAUGCAGCUUAGGUGAGAUGUGGUCAUUUUUUAUUUGUUUGAUUUGCAAAUAAUUAGUGCCAUAAUCGUUGGAUAUCAAUGAAUUUAUUAUAGUAGAUUCGGAAGCCAAACGGUUCAUAAAAUUGGAGGACUCAAAAUGAUAACGUGGCUCCAACAGAGGCAAGGAUUUGUGUCCUCUCACUUCCUAUGAGCCACAAAU
rnacentral:misc_RNA from 1 species